UACGAAGGGGGCUAGCGUUGCUCGGAAUUACUGGGCGUAAAGCGCACGUAGGCGGCUCUUUAAGUCGGAGGUGAAAUCCUGGAGCUCAACUCCAGAACUGCCUUCGAUACUGAAGAGCUCGAGUCCGGGAGAGGUGAGUGGAACUGCGAGUGUAGAGGUGAAAUUCGUAGAUAUUCGCAAGAACACCAGUGGCGAAGGCGGCUCACUGGCCCGAUACUGACGCCCAGGUGCGAAAGCCAGGGGAGCGAACGGG
rnacentral:rRNA from 1 species